rnacentral:rRNA from 1 species
UACGUAGGGUGCGAGCGUUAAUCGGAAUUACUGGGCGUAAAGAGCUCGUAGGCGGUUUGUCGCGUCUGCUGUGAAAACCUGAGGCUCAACCUCGGGCUUGCAGUGGGUACGGGCAGACUAGAGUGCGGUAGGGGUGACUGGAAUUCCUGGUGUAGCGGUGGAAUGCGCAGAUAUCAGGAGGAACACCGAUGGCGAAGGCAGGUCACUGGGCCGCAACUGACGCUGGAGGAGCGGAAAGCAUGGGGAGCGAACAGG